rnacentral:rRNA from 1 species
GGACUACAGGGGUUUCUAAUCCUGUUUGAUCCCCACGCUUUCGUGCCUCAGCGUCAAUAUUCCUGUAGUGAGCUGCCUUCGCAAUAGAUAUUCUAUGUCAUAUCUAAGCAUUUCACCGCUACAUGACAUAUUCCGCUCACCUCCAGGGUAUUCAAGACAAAUAGUAUCAAUGGCAGUUCUGUAGUUAAGCUACAGGAUUUCACCACUGACUUACCUGCCCACCUACGCACCCUUUAAACCCAGUGAAUCCGGAUAACGCUUGCACCCUCCGUAUUACCGCGGCUGCUGGCAC